GGGUGCGUAACACGUAGCUAACCUGCCCAAGACUGGGGGAUCGCCCGCCGAAAGGCGGAUUACUAGGCGCAUAAUAUCUGUUACUGGCAUCAGUGAGAGAUUAAAUCUACGGAGGUCUUGGAUGGGGCUGCGGGUCAUUAGCUAGUUGGUACGGUAACGGCGUACCAAGGCGACGAUGACUAGGGGAGCUGAGAGGCUGGUCCCCCACACGGGCACUGAGGAUACGGGCCCGACUCCUACGG
rnacentral:rRNA from 1 species